GGGAAGGAGGCAUGCUGCCAGCUCCCGAGGAGGGGACAGCCAGUGCACCAGGAUAUGAAGGCUAGCCAAGCCAAACCAGGACACACCCUGAUACCCAGACGUAGUAUGUCAGAGGAGGGGAACAGACUGGAGAACCACCUGAAGCGGAGAACCUGGCGUUUAUGGGAUUAUUUAAGUAUUUGUCCACUGUGGAAUGGCUUAAACAGGAGAGCUUGAGGAAGCCCUACAUCACAAUACUGGAUAGCUCAGUGCACUCUCCUGAGAGGCACCUAAACAUUUGAGGCUGUGGCACUCAGCAUUGCAACCACAUUGAGAUUGGAAACUGGAACAGAAAACUCAGAAAGGGACUACUGAAAGACCCAGUGUAGC